AUUGAACGCUGGCGGCAGGCUUAACACAUGCAAGUCGAACGAGUGGCGGACGGGUGAGUAACGCUUGGGAAUCUAGCUUAUGGAGGGGGAUAACUACGGGAAACUGUAGCUAAUACCGCGUACCAUAGGAUGAGCCCAAGUGGGAUUAGGUAGUUGGUGAGGUAAAGGCUCACCAAGCCGACGAUCUCUCGCUGGUCUGAGAGGAUGACCAGCCACACUGGGACUGAGACACGGCCCAGAGUCCUACGGGAGGGAGAAGUGGGGAAUAUUGCGCAAGGGGGGAAACCUGGCGCAGCCAUGCCGGGUGAAUGAAGAAGGCCUUCGGAUUGUAAAGUUCUUUCGGUAGCGAGGCGUUAACUACAGGAGAAGCACCGGCUAACUCCGUGCCAGCAGCCGCGGUAAUUC
rnacentral:rRNA from 1 species